GCAAGAGUUUGAGUAAAAAGGUUUCGACAUUGUAUUCUAAGAUGCACCCUGUAGCACCCCGUAUGAGAUCUUCUAUUUGUCUCCAGUACGGCUGGACCGAAGCGCAGGUCCACCAGAUGUGGAGCAUUGCUCCCUCAUGGGUUAGACACCUCCAGCCGUGUUAGGGUACAUUUUCUUAAGACAUUGUCAUGUACCAUCUAUAGAGUAAUUUUCGAGAUGACUCCAAAUGGGAGGCACACGAAGUAAGACCCUUGUGGGUUGCGUAAAUGUGGUUCAUUUCAUCCUGUGUGAGGUCCCUGCCUAUGUCUUUAUGCCAUUCGGUUUGGAACCGCCAAUUGGGUUCAGUGUUGUGUGCGGUAACCAGUUUAUAGCAAACUGACAGUGUUUUUUUAAUUGGGAGUUGGUGUAGGCACAUCCUCU